rnacentral:tRNA from 1 species
AUGAGUAUAGCUCAGUGGUAGAGCGUUUGACUGGAGAUCAAGAGGUCCCCGGUUCAAAUCCGGGUGUUUUCUAUU